rnacentral:rRNA from 1 species
UAAUGAAUAAUAGAUUUGAAAUAUUUAUUAUAUAGAUUUAAAGAAAUAAUCAUAGAAUACAUAAGUUAUUAAUAGUUAUUAGGUUACUAAUAAAUAAAUAAAGAUUUAUUUUAAUACCUAAGGGAAACCUUUAUAUAUAUUUAAAAAUAUAUAUAAUAAAUAUACUAAGUGAACUGAAACAUCUAAGUAACUUAAGGAUAAGAAAUCAACCGAGAUAUUAUGAGUAUUGGUGAGAGAAAAUAAUAUAGUUAAUAAAUGGUAAGUAUUAUGUAAUAUAAUUAUGUAAGAAUAUAGGACAAACUAGUUCUAAAACUAAAUACUAUUAAUAAACAAAAUAAGUACCGAAAGGGAAAGUAUGUAAAUGGUUAUUUUAUAAGUAAUCAUAGAUAUAAAAUUUAUAUUAAUGAUGUACCUUUUGUAUAAUGGGUCAGCAAGUAAUUAAUAUUAGCAAAAUAACAAAUUAAAAAUAAAUUGAUAAUAAGUUAAUAUUAAUUGACCCGAAAGCAAAUGAUCUUACUAUGACCAGACGGUUAAACGGUCGAACAGGUUGAUGUUGCAAUAUCAUCUGAUGAGUUGUGGUAAGUAGUGAAAGACAAAUCUGAUUUGCAGAUAGCUGGUUUUCUACGAAAUAUAUGUUAGUAUAGCUUUUAUAAGAAUAAUUAUUAUAAUAUACCCCCCUUUUUAAAUUAUCGUAUGGUAAUAAGAGGCCCCACCCUUUAAGGGGUGGGGCCCCCGGAAGGAGGGAAUUAUAUAUUAUAAAGAACGGUACAGCAACAAAUAUAUUUAGGGGAACUAUUGUAGUUUUAUCAAAAAUAUUUGAUCUCGAAAUGUUUAAUUAAUCUCCGAAACCAUAAUAUGUAUCACAUAUUAUGGAUAAUAAAUUUGGAGAGGAUUAUAAAAAGUCAGAUUAUGUGCGAUAAGGUAAAUAAUCUAAAGGGAAACAGCCCAGAUUAAUAUAUAAGGUUCCUAAUUAUAAAUAAUAAGUGAAAUAAAUAUUAAAAUAUUAUAAUACAAUCAGUUAAUGGAUUUGACAAUAACCAUAUUUUUAAUGAACAUGUAACAAUGCACUGAUCCAUUUUAUAGUAUACCUCCUAUGGGCCCCCCUUCGGGGGGGGCCUCUUAUCAUCUUUUAUGAUGAUGAGGGAUAAUAUACUAAAUAAUAUUAUAAAUUACUCAUAUUGAGUAUUAAUAAACAAUAUACGGAUCUUAAUUUAUUUUAAGAAUUAUUUAACCGAAUAUUUAAAUAUUAUUAUUAAAUAUAAUAAUAAUAAUAUGGUAGUAGAACAUUUAAUGAAAAGAUAUAUUAAUUUUUAAUUAAUAUAUAAUAAAUAAAAUAAUUAUUUAUAUUUGUAAUUAAAUAGAGAAUGCUGACAUGAGUAACGAAAAAAAGGUUAAACCUUUUCACCUAAAACAUAAGGUUUUACUAUAAAAGUACGGCCCUUAAUUAAAUUAUAUAAAUAUAAUCUAAGAUAGGAUAAUUCUAAAUUAAAUAAAAUAUCUUUUAUUUAUUUAUUUAUUUAAUAAAAAUUAUAAAAGAUCAAGAAAUAUGUUUAAUUUAUACCGUAAUGUAUACCGACUCAGGUAUGUUAGUAGAGAAUAUUAAGGUGAAUUAGAUAAUUAAAGGGAAGGAACUCGGCAAAAAUAGCUCUAACGUUAGUCAAUAAAGAGAUUUAAAAACAAGGUUGUACAACUGUUUAAUAAAAACACCGCACUUUGCAUAAACGAUAAGUUAACGUAUAAGGUGUGAACUCUGCUCCAUGCUUAAUAUAUAAAUAAUAUUAUUUAAUGAUAAUAUUAUUAAAUUUAAGUAAAUAGCAGCCUUAUUAUGAGGGUUCUAAGGUAGCGAAAUUCAUUGUCCAAUAAUUAUGGUCCUGCAUGAAUGACGUAAUGAUACAACAACUGUCUCCCCUUUAAGCUAAGUGAAAUUAAAUUCGCAGUGAAGAUGCUGUGUACCUAUAGUGUGACGGAAAGACCCUAUGCAGCUUUACUGUAAUUAGAUAGAUCGAAUUAUUGUAUAUUAUAUUCAGAAUAUUAAGUAAUUGAUUAAAUUUAAAUGAGAUACUUAUUAUAAUAAUAUAAUAAUUCUAAUCUUAUAUAAUAUAUUUAAUAGAUAUGAUUCUUAAAUAAAUAUAUAAUAUAUGCCUCUUUCUUACCUAAUAUUCUAAUAAUUGAUGGAUGGAAAGUAGAUAAAUUAUAUAAUAAUAAGAGACAAUCUCUAAUUGGUAGUUUUGAUGGGGCGUCAUUUUCAGCAAAAAUAUCUGAAUAAGUCUAUAUAUGUAUUAUAGUAUUAUUAAUUAAUAUUAAAGAUUCCCGCCCCCAUUAUCCCAUAAAGGAUAAUGGGCAGGGGUCGUUGUAAGAAGUAUAUAUUAUAUAUAUUAAUUAUAAAUAGAAAUAUAUUAAAUUUUUAAUUAAUAUAUUUUAGUAAUAGAUAAAAUAAUGUAUAGUAAAAUUGUCUAGAAAACAAUAAUAAUAAUAUAUUUAUAUAUAUAUUAUAUAAUAAAAUGUAUUAAAUUAAUAUAAUGGUUUAACUAUGCAACAAUUAUAACACAAACAAGUGAAAUAAGUACGUAAGUAUGGCAUAAUGAACAAAUAACACUGAUUGUAAUGGUUAUUGAUAACGAAUAAAAGUUACGCUAGGGAUAAAAUUACCUAUUGUCCCAUUAUAUUGUAAAAUAUAAUUAUUCAAUUAAUUAAUUGAAGUAAAUUGGGUGAAUUGCUUAGAUCUCCUUAUAUUGUAUAAGGACAAUAAGCAGCGAAGCUUAUAACAACUUUUAUAUAUAUAUAAUAUAUGGUUAUAAGAACGUUCAACGACUAGAUGAUGAGUAAAGUUAACAAUAAUUCAUCCACGAGUGCCCAAUAUCAAAUAAAUACCCCCCUCCCCCCCAAGUCCAUUUAAUGAUGCUCCUGCAUCAUGGACCGGGGGGGGGUAUGUAUAAAUAUCGUAAAAAAGAUAUAAAAGCAUUUUUAAUUUAUUUGAUAAUGAUAUAGUCUAAACAAUUUGGUAACAAAUUGAUAAAUAAAUAUGUAAUAAUAUUUAUAUAAUAAUAAUAAAUUGAACAGGGUAAUAUAGCGAAAGAGUAGAUAUUGUAAGCUAUGUUUGCCACCUCGAUGUCGACUCUACCUAUCCUCUUGGUUGUAAAUGCUAAGAAGGGUUUGACUGUUCGUCAAUUAAAAGGUAACGUGAGUUGGGUUAAAUACGAUGUAAAUCAGUAUGGUUCCUAUCUACUAUAGGUAAUAUUAUCAACUUAAGUCUUAUUCUUAGUACGCAAGGAUCAGAAUGAAUUAAUCCAUGGUGUAUCUAUUGAUUAUUUUAUAAUGUAUAUAUAUUAUUUAUAUAUAUUAUCUAUAUUAAUUUAUAUUUUAAAUAUUAGUUAUCCUUCUUAAAGAAUGGAUAACUGAGUAGUUCCAUAAAUUUCAUUCGUGAUAAUAAAUGGAAUAUUAAAUAGUCAUAGUAGAGAAGCUAAAUUAAUAAAUAAUAAGUAUUGAAAGCAUAUAAAAUACGAAGUUGUCUUAAGAUGAGAUAAUAAUCUGAUUAUUUUAUACUA